UUUGAAGAUGAAUAGCAAAAUUACUUCAAUAUCACGCUUUGACCGUUCCAUUUUAGAUGAUUGUAACAACAGUGAAAAAAAUCAAUGUUAAUUUAU